UACGUAGGUGGCAAGCGUUGUCCGGAUUUACUGGGCGUAAAGAGCGCGCAGGCGGUCGUAUAAGUCGGAUGUGAAAGCCCCCGGCUCAACUGGGGAGAGUCAUUCGAUACUGUUCGACUCGAAGGCAGGAGAGGGAAGUGGAAUUCCACGUGUAGCAGUGAAAUGCGUAGAGAUGUGGAGGAACACCGAUGGCGAAGGCAGCCCCGUGGGUUAACACUGACGCUCAGGCACGAAAGCGUGGGGAGCAAACAGG
rnacentral:rRNA from 1 species